rnacentral:lncRNA from 1 species
GGGACUGUUAGCUUACAGACUCAUGAUGGAGUAGUAAAAAAAUUGGACGAGAUUCGAUACGCACCCAAUUUAAAAAAUAAUCUAAUUUUACUGAGCAGACUGGAUUCAAGCAGCUAUAGGUGAAGAGUUGAGGAUGGAUUUUUGAAGAUUUUGCACGGUAGUAGGGUUGUGAUGAAGAAAAAGAGGUAUGGAGGAUAUUUUCUUUUAGCAAAGAGCUUAGUUUGAGGUGGAGCUCCAGGCACAGAU